rnacentral:rRNA from 1 species
AUUGAACGCUGGCGGCAGGCCUAACACAUGCAAGUCGAGCGGAUGAAGGGAGCUUGCUCCUGGAUUCAGCGGCGGACGGGUGAGUAAUGCCUAGGAAUCUGCCUGGCAGCGGGGGAUAACGUCCGGAAACGGGCGCUAAUACCGCAUACGUGCUGAGGGAGAAAGGGGGGGAUCUUCGGACCUCACGCUAUCAGAUGAGCCUAGGUCGGAUUAGCUAGUUGGUGGGGUAAAGGCCUACCAAGGCGACGAUCCGUAACUGGUCUGAGAGGAUGAUCAGUCACACUGGAACUGAGACACGGUCCAGACUCCUACGGGAGGCAGCAGUGGGGAAUAUUGGACAAUGGGCGAAAGCCUGAUCCAGCCAUGCCGCGUGUGUGAAGAAGGUCUUCGGAUUGUAAAGCACUUUAAGUUGGGAGGAAGGGCAGUAAGUUAAUACCUUGCUGUUUUGACGUUACCAACAGAAUAAGCACCGGCUAACUUCGU